CCACUGCAGAGACUGCACUGCGGUCCCUCCCCCAGCCCGAGGCCCGCGGGGGGCUCCUCGGGGGACAGCCUCUGUUUCGUGCCGUUAUUUAAAGAAUUCUCUCCACGUUUUUGUAUCGGGAGGCGCCAUCGGCACUUCCUCCCCUCCCCCUCGAGUGCCAAGAAGGUGUUGGACAAGCCUGCCCCUCCCUACUGGUGCCCCUCCCCCCUGGCCAAGACACCUGGACCUGGCGAGGAUGCUGCCAGCAGAGCGGACUGAUUAACCAGUUUGUACAUAGUGUAUAUUGCUUUAACCAGCCACACACCUCGUCCUGCUCUGGCUUUUGCCUCCUUAAUGAUGCCAACUGCUGCAACGGACCCUCCUCCUCCCUUCCCCAUCCCGUCUUACUGCCAGCAGCUUCUUGAGGAGACAGCGUCAUGUUCUAGCCACGUCUCUGGCCAGCCGGGGCUGGUGGGGUGGGCUCCAUGUUGCUCAUUCUCUCUUCCAGGCUGUCGACUUCUCUGUCCCCGGCCUGCAGGGUCUCACCCCUCUCCGGGGCCUGUGCCAGCUUCCUUCCCUCCCCAUUCUCAUGCCCCACAGCUGUUGUGGGCACCGAGGAACCCUGGCUGGAGGCAGGAUCUGCCCUCUGUCAGGCCUGCCCCGAGGUUCCGCAGAGACAGUCAGCCCUGCCCUUGGGCCACAAGAUUUCUUGUCCUGCCUUCUAGAUGCCUCUAAGCUACAAACCCAGGGGAGCCACAGCUUCUAAUUUAUACCAACAUGUUUCAGUUCCAGCAGAAAGGUAGUAGGGGUAUAUUUGUGCAGAGAUGGGGCUUACAGAGGGGUUGGCGGUGGGAGCAUUAUUUUAAUCGAAAAUGAAAGCCAAAUCAAAUGAAUUCAGUUCCUCACUAUUACUUUCUUUCACUGAGGUUUGAUUGGCACAGCAGCAAAAGUUGUGGCUAGGCCAGCCCACUUUGGGUCUAGUGUUUUUAGACAAAGUGAACAAUUUCCUGUCAUUGUGGGGGCUUGGCUCUUGGCUGUCUCUUGAUGGGAACAGAGAAGGGGCCUCCCGCUGGAGUCCUAGUCUAUGGUGUAGCACCAGGCACCUUGGAACAUGGGGAGUGGCGGCCAGGGCUGCUGGGCUGUGGGACGCCAUCUUUAGGCUGGGAUGCCAAACAGCCUUGGCUCCCUGGCAGCUGUGUUAGACAAAGGUAGCAGGAAGGAAGGAAUGACUGGGGGGCUAGGACAGCUGGGUUGGACCCACCCCAGUCUCUGGAGGAAAAACCAGGGUCAUCUGCACUUGAUUACUCCCCCUGUCCGCCCUCAACCUGGAUACUUCAUUCCUCUUUCCUCUACAAGAAUCAAGUAACUUGGGAAGAAUUUAUUUCUGCACCAUGAUGUGUUUUAUUAGAUUUCCUUUCCUAGAUGAUUUCCAGGCAAAGACCUGUUUGGACAAUCACGUCAGAGAUCACAUUGAGAUUUUCCAUAUUAACACUGUGGAUAGGUUUUUAAUCAAUAAAAACUGGGGGUUUCUUCUCACCUGUCUCUCCACUUGCCCAAACUGCCAAAAGCCGAUGGUUCUGUGUGACAGGCCUUCACUUUGGAGCCACAGGAUGGGAUGGGCAGGGAAAUUCUGUGAGCCUGGGGAGGUGGGUGCAGCAGGCAGCCCUGUCUGGCCUGGGGAACCUCCUAGGAGCUGUAGCAGGGUCUCUGUCCUCGUGACUCCUGGCUGACCACAGGCCUUGUGGGCACGUGGUGCUUGGGGCUCCUGUGCCGGUGGGUGGGGGGCAUACAGAAGCCAGUGAGAGCAUGCUUGGGAGUCAAGCAAUGAGAGGGGUCCUGGGAACUUCCAGCCCAGGCUAGCGGUUCCUGUGGCUUCUGGCAGCCGGACGUCCAGAUUCAGGUGGUGGGCUGAUCUUGGUAGGUGACUGCCUGUCCCGCUGAGUGUUACACGCAUGAAUGGGGGUUUGUGGGGUGGGGGUGGGGGACUCAGGGCUGGACCGAUGUGCUAGUGGACCUGAUGUGAAAUUUCUGUCAAACAAAACUUUUAAAUGGUUUGCUAGGAUUAUUUCUGUAUUGAAAAUUUCUAAUUAUGCUUUUUAAAAAAAAUACUAAAAAUAAAGGUUCAAGCUGCCAAAUUC